rnacentral:tRNA from 1 species
GCCUGAUCGGCUCAGUCAGUUAAGUGUCUGACUUCGGCUCAGGUCAUGAUCUCACAGCUCGUGGGUUCGAGCCCCAUAUCAGGCU